UGUCUGUGCCUUGGAGGAAUUGUACAUGCACAUCUGAUUGUCUCUUCAUUGACUUGUCUUGGAACAAAGUGAACAGUGAGGAUGGAGGGAGAAAGGAGAUUUUGGCCCAAACACAAACCCCUGAGACCUUAUAAGAUGUAGCUGGGCUUUUAAAGGACUAGUACACCUACACAAUUAAUGAAUAUAAUGCUUUUUCGAUGAGCUUUGAUAUAAAAGCUGUAUGUGAUGACAUUUCAUAAUAGUGAGUGGUAGUUGACUCUUACAGGAUGUAACAGAACAUUAGGUCUGUCCUGUUAUUGAUUACGAUGUAGAGCCACCUUUAUAAACACUCCAUAUUUGCUAUAAUAGAGAUAAUAUACAACAAGCUGUGUUUAUUAGAAAAGAACAUAUUGGGGGGUUUUAGGCAUCCAUUUGGUGUUAUUUUACAUACUUACAUACAUAUACAGUUAAGCAGUGAUGGCUGGUGGUGAUUUUGGGUGGGUGGGCUAACAAAUGCAUUACACUCAUCACUAUGUCACACAGCAGCAACAGUAGCAUCACAUCAAGUUACAGCAACAACAUUGUAUACUUUGUUAUAGCAAGUGCUCUACGGCAACACUGUGGAGACAUACCGAAAUGAAUGGCCUGAUGCCAAAAAAAUCUCUCUCCUCUUUACACAUAAGCACAUGCCAAUUGCAUUACAACAUUAAAGAAAAGUACCAGCAACAAUUUGCAACUCCAUGUACUAAAAACAAAACUAUCUACAAAACCAAAGCAAAAAUAACAGUAUUUGUAAAAGACAACGAGUUGUUUCAGAGCUUGGGCAUACCUUAUUUAAAAAGCAGCUCACAUCGACGGCAUUCCUGGGACGCAAACAGGUAAAUCACAUGUGAUUAAAGUCUGGUGGUUUUUGGAUGAAGUCCCUCUCAAUGGGCAGCGUAGCCAGUCUGUUUAGCCUGUCCUGUCCAUUUGUACUUCUUAGAAAGGAUCCGCUUCAGUAUACUGAAACACCUCUCUGACUCUGCAGAUGUCAUGGGGGUUGUGAUGGCUAUUUGUGUUACUUUCAGUGUUUCAGAAAAAAGUGCUCUGAAGAUUGUGCCUGGCUUUCUCAAAGCGAGCCUUUGACUGCUCGACCAUUAUGUCACAGCACUGUACGGCUACUGACACAUUAUCAGAGCGCCGCUUCCUGCGCGGCGUUGCAGCAACUGCAGCGGUGUCCGCAUCUGGAUGUGGCUGAUUGUCAUCUGUGGUCAGCAGUUCAGAUAUGGAGCACGAAAAAUUCUCCAGGCCCUGUCUCGCUUUGAGAGAAUCUGUGGUCUUAGACGUGUACUUGGCAACCUGUGUGUUUGACAGGUGAUCGGCUAAUUGACUAAAAAAGAGAUUUUAAUACAGUCCACAGUCCGUGAUAGUGAAUGCCUGUUUUUUUUUUUACCCGCUCGUUGUGUCUCUGUACAGCGGUGCGGUGACCCUCAUUGAGCUGACAAGCAUUGUUCACUUUACCCAGCAAUGACAACUUUACGCUAUUUCCAAGGUGGCUCGUGCUGCAUUCAUGUUUCCUAAUUUUGUCGGAUAAAUGUCUUAAAUCCGCAAUUCCUUGUUGGGUCCAAGCCGUGUCUCCUCCAAACAGCAAACAUGGGAAACAGAAAAGUGAAUUCCUAGCUACACUUGCUGUUAGCCAGUCCGUUCGCUGAAACCAUGUAACACAAAAUUACGAUUUUGUCGUUUGUUCUUUUGUGUUAUUCGAACAUCGUUUGGUUGAUGUGUCCCCAAUCUCUGUACUUCCAAUUUUUCCUCCAAAGACUUUAAAGUAAAUUGAUUAGAAAGUAAAUAAUCCACCUCGUUCAUGUUCAUGCUAACGCCCGCCAUUACUACUGUUGCUCACUUCCCUCUCUCCAUGUUCUACUACGAACUAGCCUCACUCUACAGUGGCUACUGCAUUGUGAUUAGUCGAGGGUCAUUGUACUGUAGCUACUGCGCUGUGAUUGGUCAAAGGUCACUGUACUGUAGCUACUGCGCUGUGAUUGGUCAACGGUCACUGUACUGUAGCUACUGCGCUGUGAUUGGUCAACGGUCACUGUACUGUAGCUACUGCGCUGUGAUUGGUCAAAGGUCACUGGCCUUUGGGAUGAAUGAAUUUAGCCCAAAUGGGCAGCAUAUGAAGGGGGUGUGUCACAACACCUGUCAAUCAAAAUUGAAUCGAAGCUUAUGCUUCCGUGCUUGGCUGUAAAAA